AGGAUGCUAUAUAACAAGCCCAGAUCAGUUAGGCUGCAGCUUCAGAGACUUUCCACCACUGAAGAUCUUCUGCAGUCCGUGCCAAGUCUACCAACAGAGUCAGCUGAAAGGGAAAAAUAGCAUCAGUAAUCAUGAAGAUCCAGGUUGCCGGCUUCCUGCUGAUGCUGAUCUCUGCUGUCGAGCUCUCCGAAGGGCAGCAUCCGAUUGAGAAGAACGUCAUCGGCAACAUGAACAAAGGGCAAUGUAACGAUGUCAUGAACGAAAGAUUCAAUAGUGAAGGGGGUUGCAAGCAUGCAGAAACCUUCAUUGUAGCGUCUCGCCAAGAUGUGAAUGCUCUCUGUCAAAAGGUGAACGGGAUCAUGCCAGGUUUUAGCAAGGAAAUAUUUAAAGUUGUUGACUGUACGAAAGUUAAAGAUUGUGUCUAUAAUGGUGAUGACAGACAUACAAAAACUCAACUUAAACUUGAAUGUAAAGAUAAUCAAGCUGUGCGCUAUGUAGGCGCUAACAGGCUGAAUUAAAAAAAAGAUGCAUUGCUUAUUUCCUGCCAUUAAUUUAAAAAAAAUGAAGCUAAUGUUUUUCCUGGUUCAAUGUUAAUCUAAUUCUGUAUACAUUAUCCUAAAUAUACAGUAACAUUUUUAUCUGAACUUCCAGAUAGCUUCUACUGCAGCAGCUUAUUAAUGUUACCAUCUUAUGUUUUGGCUUCUUCAAUGUUACCGUUUUAUCCCAAAUAAACCUACUGCAUGAUCUGAAAGACUUAAAAAGUGUUUAUUUCUUACUAAAAGCCUUUUUGUUCCAGUUUAACAAAGAAAAUGCACCACUAACUUAAAUACUAAUGAAAUGGAUUUGAUGGACAAUGAAAAAGGAUUUGGGAAAAGAAAAUGUUGAUAAAGUCUCCAAAACUGGAAACAGACACAUCUUGCAGAACCUGUGUAGAGUUUUUGUUGAAAUAUAAUUCGUAUGAUCAAAUACAUGGUUUGCUAUUCAAAUCCACUUUGUGACAAUACAGAUCAUUUUAGAGGAAAUACAAGGCGCUGGAUGACUCACAAGCAACAGAGAAGCAGGAUGCAGGACUCAGUUAAACUUUUAAAUAACUGAACAGAAAUACUUACAGAUUAGAACGAAUCAGGAAAUUAAAUACUUAAAAGAGGGAAUGAAGACAAGAAGCUGAAGGAGGGUUGAUUACAAAACAGAAUCUGGUGUGACACUGAAAAAGGAAAGCAGCACCAUCAAAAUAAAACAGGAAACAAGAGCUUAGAGACAAAAAUGGAAAUGAGAGCAUUAGCCCAAAAUGAAAACAUGAGAAAACAAAACGAAGAUUUUGAAAAACAGCGUCACUUUAUUUUUGCUUGUUUGUCAGCCCAUUACACCCAUUGAGUAAAUAUGAAUGCAGGAGCGCCCUCUGCUGUUUGACAAAGAU